rnacentral:lncRNA from 12 species
UUCAUUUCAAUGCAGCUUUAGGGAAUUAAAUAUGGAUUUGAAAGAGAUGUCCAGCUGCUCAUACCAUUUGGCAGAAGCUGUCUGAACUGUGAAAGUGGGGGAGAAAUGCAGUCAUCUCGAGCUGUUCCAGCCUCUUCUUGACUAGACAACUCCAUCCAUUAUGAGUCCCCUGGGCCAGAUCCUCACUGAGGUAGCAGCGUGUUCUGCAGACAAUGAAGCCUGUGUAGUAACUGCACUCCCUGUUCUGCUCCAUUGUGCCUCGAGCCUGCAGAAAAGCUCAUAGACGG